GACAGAGGAGCCAAGCGUUGUCCGGAUUGACUGGGCGUAAAGCGCACGCAGGCGGCCGUGCACGUGGGGUGUGAAAGCUGGCGGCUUAACUGCCAGACGCCACCUCAUACGGCACGGCUCGAGCCCGUGAGAGGUCCACGGAAUUGCCGGUGUAGUGGUGAAAUGCGUAGAGAUCGGCAGGAACACCCAGGGGGAAACCAGUGGUCUGGCACGGUGCUGACGCUCAGGUGCGAAAGCGUGGGGAGCGAACCGG
rnacentral:rRNA from 1 species